rnacentral:rRNA from 2 species
UGGGGAAUAUUGCACAAUGGGCGCAAGCCUGAUGCAGCGACGCCGCGUGAGGGAUGACGGCCUUCGGGUUGUAAACCUCUUUCAGCAGGGACGAAGCGCGAGUGACGGUACCUGCAGAAGAAGCACCGGCCAACUACGUGCCAGCAGCCGCGGUAAUACGUAGGGUGCGAGCGUUGUCCGGAAUUACUGGGCGUAAAGAGCUCGUAGGCGGUUUGUCGCGUCGUCUGUGAAAUUCUGCAGCUUAACUGUAGGCGUGCAGGCGAUACGGGCAGACUUGAGUACUACAGGGGAGACUGGAAUUCCUGGUGUAGCGGUGAAAUGCGCAGAUAUCAGGAGGAACACCGGUGGCGAAGGCGGGUCUCUGGGUAGUAACUGACGCUGAGGAGCGAAAGCGUGGGUAGCGAACAGG